rnacentral:lncRNA from 1 species
AUGCAAUCGGUUUUCGUGGAGUCCACGUUGCCCGGGCCGCGUGCCCGUGGUUCCCGGGCCAUCCAUUCAUUCACGGGGCAUGGCGGGAGUCGCAGGAGACGCGGGAGUGGUCACGGUGCCCAAGGUCACAGUGCCCGGGCCGCAGGGUGCCGCGGCCGGGACACGGGGCGGGACACGGGGUCUCUCUCUCUCUCUCUCUCUCUCUCUCUCUCUCUCUCUCUCUCUCUCUCUCUCUCUCUCUCUCUCUCUCUCUCUCUCUCUCUCUCUCUCUCUCUCUCUCUCUCUCUCUCUCUCUCUCCUCUCUCUCUCUCUCUCUCUCUCUCUCUCUCUCUCUCUCUCUCUCUCUCUCUCUCUCUCCUCUCUCUCUCUCUCUCUCUCUCUCUCUCUCUCUCUCUCUCUCUCUCUCUCUCUCUCUCUCUCUCUCUCUCUCUCUCUCUCUCUCUCUCUCUCUCUCUCUCUCUCUCUCUCUCUCUCUCUCUCUCUCUCUCUCUCUCUCUCUCUCUCUCUCUCUCUCUCUCUCUCUCUCUCUCUCUCUCUCUCUCUCUCUCUCUCUCUCUCUCUCUCUCUCUCUCUCUCUCUCUCUCUCUCUCUCUCUCUCUCUCUCUCUCUCUCUCUCUCUCUCUCUCUCUCUCUCUCUCUCUCUCUCUCUCUCUCUCUCUCUCUCUCUCUCUCUCUCUCUCUCUCUCUCUCUCUCUCUCUCUCUCUCUCUCUCUCUCUCUCUCUCUCUCUCUCUCUCUCUCUCUCUCUCUCUCUCUCUCUCUCUCUCUCUCUCUCUCUCUCUCUCUCUCUCUCUCUCUCUCUCUCUCUCUCUCUCUCUCUCUCUCUCUCUCUCUCUCUCUCUCUCUCUCUCUCUCUCUCUCUCUCUCUCUCUCUCUCUCUCUCUCUCUCUCUCUCUCUCUCUCUCUCUCUCUCUCUCUCUCUCUCUCUCUCUCUCUCUCUCUCUCUCUCUCUCUCUCUCUCUCUCUCUCUCUCUCUCUCUCUCUCUCUCUCUCUCUCUCUCUCUCUCUCUCUCUCUCUCUCUCUCUCUCUCUCUCUCUCUCUCUCUCUCUCUCUCUCUCUCUCUCUCUCUCUCUCUCUCUCUCGAAGUUUAAUUGCAUGUCAUGA